AUCCAAGCUACUAAGGGCCAACGGUGGAUGCCUUGGCACUAGGAGCCGAUGAAGGACGCGGCAGGCUGCGAUAAGCCUCGGGGAGCUGUCAAGCAAGCUUUGAUCCGAGGAUUUCCGAAUGGGGAAACCCGGCCGGGGUCAUGCCCGGUCACUCCGGUCUGAACACAUAGGGCCGGUUGAGGCAACCAGGGGAAUUGAAACAUCUCAGUACCCUGAGGAAGAGAAAGCAAUAGCGACUCCCUGAGUAGUGGCGAGCGAAACGGGAAGAGCCUAAACCUAUGCAGUGUGAUAGCCCGGUGGCGUUGCUGUAUAGGGGUCGUGGGACCCAUGUCUCUGCGCACCGGCGCAGAGCUGGAGUUACAAAGUCGGCGGUUAGCUGAACACAGCUGGAAAGCUGGGCCAUAGGGGGUAAUAGCCCCGUAAGCGAAAA
rnacentral:rRNA from 1 species